rnacentral:rRNA from 1 species
GGSGGAAGCCUGACGGAGCAACGCCGCGUGAGUGAUGAAGGUCUUCGGAUCGUAAAACUCUGUUAUYMGGGAAGAACAAAUGUGUAAGUAACUAUGCACGUCUUGACGGUACCUAAUCAGAAAGCCACGGCUAACUACGUGCCAGCAGCCGCGGUAAUACGUAGGUGGCAAGCGUUAUCCGGAAUUAUUGGGCGUAAAGCGCGCGUAGGCGGUUUUUUAAGUCUGAUGUGAAAGCCCACGGCUCAACCGUGGAGGGUCAUUGGAAACUGGAAAACUUGAGUGCAGAAGAGGAAAGUGGAAUUCCAUGUGUAGCGGUGAAAUGCGCAGAGAUAUGGAGGAACACCAGUGGCGAAGGCGACUUUCUGGUCUGUAACUGACGCUGAUGUGCGAAAGCGUGGGGAUCAAACAGGAUUAGAUACCCUGGUAGUCCACGCCGUAAACGAUGAGUGCUAAGUGUUAGGGGGUUUCCGCCCCUUAGUGCUGCAGCUAACGCAUUAAGCACUCCGCCUGGGGAGUACGACCGCAAGGUUGAAACUCAAAGGAAUUGACGGCGGGCGGGGGCGGCGGGACGGGCGCGGGGCGCGGCGGGCGA